CAGAGGCGCCGGAAGCCAGGGCCCCGGCUGCGGGGACAAGGUGAGAGCCGGCUGGCUUCCGGGCCGGGAGGUGCGGGCGGAGGGCGAGGUACGCUGGACGGGCCGACGGGGGCGAGGCAGACGGCAGCUCGGCCGGGCUCCCAGGCCCCAGGCCUUCUCCGGAGCCCCGACAAAUCGCGGCCCCAGCCUGCCCCUGCGCUGGCUUUCCCUUCAGUCGUCGGGCCCGGGCCGGGAGCUGGAGUCCCACGGACUCGUAGGACCCUCGAGGAGCCGCCUCUGCCAGGGGAGUCGCGCGAACUGAGACGUCUGGUCCCGGUGCGACCCGGUCGGGUCGGAGGCAGAGGCCACCAUGGAGCAGUGUGCGAGUGUGGAGAGGGAGGUGGACAGGGUCCUGCAGAAGUUCCUGACCUACGGGCAGCACUGCGAGCAGAGCCUGGAGGAGCUGCUGCACUACGUGGGCCAGCUGAGGGCUGAGCUGGCCAGCGCAGCCCUCCAGGGGGCCCCUCUGUCAGCCACCCUCUCCCUGGUGAUGUCCCAGUGCUGCCGGAAGAUCAAAGACACCGUGCAGAAACUGGCUUCGGACCACAAGGACAUUCACAGCAGCGUCUCCCGAGUGGGCAAAGCCAUCGACAGGAACUUUGACUCUGAGAUUUGCGGCGUCGUCUCCGAUGCGGUGUGGGACUCUCGGGAGAAGCAGCAGCAGGUCCUGCAGAUGGCCAUUGUGGAGCACCUGUACCAGCAGGGUAUGCUGAGCGUUGCCGAGGAGCUGUGCCAGGAGUCAACACUGAACGUGGACUUGGACUUUAAGCAGCCUUUCCUCGAGUUGAAUCGAAUCCUGGAAGCUCUGCACGAACAAGACCUAGGGCCGGCAUUGGAAUGGGCUGUCUCCCACAGGCAGCGCCUGCUCGAGCUCAACAGCUCCCUGGAGUUCAAGCUGCACCGCCUACACUUCAUCCGCCUCCUGGCAGGCGGCCCUGAGAAGCAGCUGGAGGCCCUCAGCUAUGCCCGGCACUUUCAGCCGUUUGCACGGCUGCACCAGCGAGAGAUCCAGGUGAUGAUGGGCAGCUUGGUGUACCUGCGGCUGGGCUUGGAGAAGUCCCCCUACUGCCACCUCCUGGACAACAGCCACUGGGCAGAGAUCUGUGAGACCUUUACCCGGGAUGCUUGUUCCCUGCUGGGGCUCUCGGUGGAGUCGCCCCUCAGUGUCAGCUUUGCUUCUGGCUGUGUGGCGCUGCCUGUGCUGAUGAACAUUAAGGCUGUGAUUGAGCAGAGGCAGUGCACGGGGGUCUGGAGUCACAAGGACGAGCUACCGAUUGAGAUUGAACUGGGCAUGAAGUGCUGGUACCACUCGGUGUUUGCCUGCCCCAUCCUCCGGCAGCAGACGUCAGAUUCCAACCCUCCCAUCAAGCUCAUCUGUGGCCACGUGAUCUCCCGAGACGCCCUCAACAAGCUCAUCAAUGGAGGAAAGCUGAAGUGUCCCUACUGCCCCAUGGAGCAGAACCCAGCCGAUGGGAAACGCAUCAUAUUCUGAUACCUGCCUCGAAGGAACUUUGUCAGAAGGGCUUUCCACCCAUGAGCCUUGCUCUGUCCCGGUGGGGGUGGCUAGCUUCAGUGGACUGUGGUUCAUUUCCGAACGACUGGCUGAGCGCCACUGUGGGCGGAGGCCAAGAAGGGAGAUGAACCCGUCUGUGCCAGGCAGCCAGCUCCUUGGCCGGAAGGACAGGCAGACACUGGCCUCGGCACUCCCGCGGUUGCCCUGUUUCUCUCGGCCAGUGACUUCGUAGCAGCCCACAGAGAAGCAAAGCACUUGGCCAGCAACGCAGACCUUUUCAGCCCUGCCCCCAGCACCGCGCCCGCCCCUCCCACUUCAAUAGUGCUACCCUACCUCUGGACAGAGAAAAUGGCCUCGGCCCUCAAGGACCCCAGAUGUGAAUCUCCCACCUUCUGAAAGUGCGUGCAAAUUUGUGUUUGGUGAUCACUUCCU